GAUGAACGCUGGCGGCGUGCCUAAUACAUGCAAGUCGAGCGAACGGACGAGAAGCUUGCUUCUCUGAUGUUAGCGGCGGACGGGUGAGUAACACGUGGAUAACCUACCUAUAAGACUGGGAUAACUUCGGGAAACCGUAGCUAAUACCGGAUAAUAUUUUGAACCGCAUGGUUCAAAAGUGAAAGACGGUCUUGCUGUCACUUAUAGAUGGAUCCGCGCUGCAUUAGCUAGUUGGUAAGGUAACGGCUUACCAAGGCAACGAUGCAUAGCCGACCUGAGAGGGUGAUCGGCCACACUGGAACUGAGACACGGUCCAGACUACUACGGGAGGCAGCAGUAGGGAAUCUUACGCAAUGGGCGAAAGCAUGACGGAGCAACGCCGCGUGAGUGAUGAAGGUCUUCGGAUCGUAAAACUCUGUUAUUAGGGAAGAACAUAUGUGUAAGUAACUGUGCACAUCUUGACGGUACCUAAUCAGAAAGCCACGGCUAACUACGUG
rnacentral:rRNA from 1 species